rnacentral:rRNA from 1 species
AGUGAACGCUGGCGGUAGGCCUAACACAUGCAAGUCGAACGGCAGCACAGUAAGAGCUUGCUCUUACGGGUGGCGAGUGGCGGACGGGUGAGGAAUACAUCGGAAUCUACUUUUUCGUGGGGGAUAACGUAGGGAAACUUACGCUAAUACCGCAUACGACCUACGGGUGAAAGCAGGGGAUCUUCGGACCUUGCGCGAUUGAAUGAGCCGAUGUCGGAUUAGCUAGUUGGCGGGGUAAAGGCCCACCAAGGCGACGAUCCGUAGCUGGUCUGAGAGGAUGAUCAGCCACACUGGAACUGAGACACGGUCCAGACUCCUACGGGAGGCACCAGUGGGGAAUAUUGGACAAUGGGCGCAAGCCUGAUCCAGCCAUACCGCGUGGGUGAAGAAGGCCUUCGGGUUGUAAAGCCCUUUUGUUGGGAAAGAACAGCAGCAGGUUAAUACCCCGCUGUUCUGACGGUACCCAAAGAAUAAGCACCGGCUAACUUCGUG